rnacentral:misc_RNA from 1 species
UUUCCGUAGGUGAACCUGCGGAAGGAGCAUUACAGAGUUCAUGCCCUCACGGGUAGAUCUCCCACCCUUGAAUAUUUAUACCUUAGUUGCUUUGGCAGGCCGUGGAAACACCAUGGGCUCCGGCUUAUGCGUGCCUGCCAGAGGAAACAAACUCUGUUUUUAGGGAUGUCUGAGUACUAUAUAAUAGUUAAAACUUUCAACAACGGAUCUCUUGGUUCUG